rnacentral:rRNA from 1 species
AGACAGCAGUCGCCGCGGUAAUACGUAGGUGGCAAGCGUUGUCCGGAAUUAUUGGGCGUAAAGGGCUCGCAGGCGGUUUCUUAAGUCUGAUGUGAAAGCCCCCGGCUCAACCGGGGAGGGUCAUUGGAAACUGGGAAACUUGAGUGCAGAAGAGGAGAGUGGAAUUCCACGUGUAGCGGUGAAAUGCGUAGAGAUGUGGAGGAACACCAGUGGCGAAGGCGACUCUCUGGUCUGUAACUGACGCUGAGGAGCGAAAGCGUGGGGAGCGAACAGGAUUAGAUACCCCUGUAGUCCCUGUCUCUUAUAC